CCGGCCCAGCCUCCUCCUGACCUGGUGGUGCUGGACGCCGCUGCUGGCAGCUGGGAGGCCGUGGCCCAGACGGUGCUGAUGUAUGCUCCUAGAGGCAAGAGAUUUAAGCACCUCCAACUGUGGAACCCAGCGCUAAGCGAACAGGAGCAGCGGCGGCUGCUGACGCUGCUACAUGAGGAGCGAGUCAGGACCAACGACGAGGACGCCACGCGCUGCGUGCCCGCUGGAAUUGAUGUUAAGCUACACAUCGGCGAUGAUCCACCGGCAAGAUAUUCUCCUUGACUGAAUGUCAUGCAAGAGAAAUAAUUUAAGCGGAUUCUGCAAGAUGCAUUAAAUGUAACCCGCUAGAUUUACGAAAUUUCAAAUAAUUUAAUGAUAAAAAACUGUUUCUGUUUACAACGUCAUUUAUCAUUUGAACUUGUGACGUUAUGCGCGGUCAGGCCAUCAGGGUCAAGGAUUUGCAGUUGGCUUCUAACCUUUAUUGGUUAAAAGAUUUUAUACAAUAACAUAAAUUCUGAGUUAUUGUAGUUACUCUGACAUUUUGAGCCUUGCUGAAAUAUAAUGUCAUCCAAUUCACGUGAUCCAGUAGUUGAGGCAUAAGCUAUGCCAAUUGCACAAUAUAAGUAUACACGUAUAGGUGAUUCGAAAGACGCAUUUGACGCUACAACGAUACGAAGGGCACCUCGCACGUAGCAAUAUGUUAAAUAUUAUUAAAAUAACGAUUAUAUUUACUAAAAACUACCGUAACUAUGAUAGAAAAUUCACAAUUGGCCCAAGGCUGUUGCAUAGUGCAUAAAUAAUACAUUGAUCGCUCGAGAUAUUCAAAUAAUGUAACUAUAAUGCAACGUGCACAAUUGAUAUAACGAAGAUGCGAAUUACACAACAUGACGAUGCUGUGAAAUGCUUAGCAAUCGCAGAGAUGUUACGAAGUAGAAUUCACACGUGUACUGUAUAGGUCUAAUUUUUUUAAUGUCAGCAAACCCCUAACCUCUGACCUGAAAUUUAUUUGUAAAUAAAAAGCGGUUGAGAGACACUGCUCUUGUUUUCUCUCUCUGUGC